rnacentral:rRNA from 1 species
CAGUAGCCACGGGAAUACGAAGGGUGCAAGCGUUAAUCGGAAUUACUGGGCGUAAAGCGUGCGUAGGCGGUUUGUUAAGUCUGCUGUGAAAUCCCCGGGCUCAACCUGGGAAUGGCAGUGGAUACUGGCAAGCUAGAGUGUGUCAGAGGAUGGUGGAAUUCCCGGUGUAGCGGUGAAAUGCGUAGAGAUCGGGAGGAACAUCAGUGACGAAGGCGGCCAUCUGGGACAACACUGACGCUGAGGCACGAAAGCGUGGGGAGCAAACAGGAUUAGAUACCCCGGUAGUCCCUGUCUCUUAUAC